UACGGAGGGGACUAGCGUUGUUCGGAAUUACUGGGCGUAAAGCGCGCGUAGGCGGAUUUGCAAGUCGGGGGUGAAAGCCCGAGGCUCAACCUCGGAACUGCCCUCGAUACUGCAAAUCUCGAGUCCGAGAGAGGUGAGUGGAAUUCCUAGUGUAGAGGUGAAAUUCGUAGAUAUUCGGAAGAACACCAGUGGCGAAGGCGACUCGCUGGACAAGUAUUGACGCUGAGGUGCGAAAGCGUGGGAGCAAACAGG
rnacentral:rRNA from 1 species